rnacentral:rRNA from 1 species
AUCAUGGCUCAGGACGAACGCUGGCGGCGCGCCUAACACAUGCAAGUCGAACGAGCGAGAGAGAGCUUGCUUUCUCGAGCGAGUGGCGAACGGGUGAGUAACGCGUGAGGAACCUGCCUCAAAGAGGGGGACAACAGUUGGAAACGGCUGCUAAUACCGCAUAAGCCCACAGCUCGGCAUCGAGCAGAGGGAAAAGGAGCAAUCCGCUUUGAGAUGGCCUCGCGUCCGAUUAG